UCGGGAAUAUUGCGCAAUGGAGGAAACUCUGACGCAGUGACGCCGCGUAUAGGAAGAAGGUCUUCGGAUUGUAAACUAUUGUCGUUAGGGAAGAGAAAGGACAGUACCUAAGGAGGAAGCUCCGGCUAACUACGUGCCAGCAGCCGCGGUAAUACGUAGGGAGCGAGCGUUAUCCGGAUUUAUUGGGUGUAAAGGGUGCGUAGACGGGAAAAUAAGUUAGUUGUGAAAUCCCUCGGCUUAACUGAGGAACUGCAACUAAAACUAUUUUUCUUGAGUGCAGGAGAGGAAAGUGGAAUUCCUAGUGUAGCGGUGAAAUGCGUAGAUAUUAGGAGGAACACCAGUGGCGAAGGCGACUUUCUGGACUGUAACUGACGUUGAGGCACGAAAGUGUGGGGAGCAAACAGGAUUAGAUACC
rnacentral:rRNA from 1 species